AUUGCUAUUUCAUUGUCAAACCCACUAUUGGUUUAAAUGAGUCCAAGUACAAGUAUGUGGACAACAAAAACAAGCUGGGAAUCUACUGUGAUACCGAUGUGUAUCCAUGUAAGGAUUUCAAUGGUCCCAUGUAUGGGUUCUCAUUCACAUCCUUUAAGGAUAUCAUUGACAAAACUGUUCCAGAAAACAAAUCUAUAGAUGUUAUUGGUUUUGUUGCUGAUGUUAAAGACCUUAAGAAGUUUAAGACAGCAAGGGGUAAAGACACCAAGAAACUCAAUGUCAUCAUUCAAGAUCUAGAGAUGGAAUCAAUAUACCUGUCUUUGUGGGAUUCUUAUGCUGAUCGGA